UGGGGAAUAUUGCGCAAUGGGCGAAAGCCUGACGCAGCGACGCCGCGUGAGGGAUGAAGGUUUUCGGAUCGUAAACCUCUGUCAGAAGGGAAGAAACCGCACUGUGCUAAUCAGCAGUGCCUUGACGGUACCUUCAAAGGAAGCACCGGCUAACUCCGUGCCAGCAGCCGCGGUAAUACGGAGGGUGCAAGCGUUAAUCGGAAUUACUGGGCGUAAAGCGCACGUAGGCUGCUUUGUAAGUCAGGGGUGAAAUCCCACGGCUCAACCGUGGAACUGCCUUUGAUACUGCUUAGCUUGAAUCCGGGAGAGGGUGGCGGAAUUCCAGGUGUAGGAGUGAAUUCCGUAGAUAUCUGGAGGAACAUCAGUGGCGAAGGCGGCCACCUGGACCGGUAUUGACGCUGAGGUGCGAAAGCGUGGGGAGCAAACAGG
rnacentral:rRNA from 1 species